UGCCAGCAGCCGCGGUAAUAGGGAGGGUGCGAUCGUGAAUCGGAAUCACUGUGCGUAGAGCGUACGUAGGCGGCGUAUCACGUCAGGCGUGAACGCCCUCGGCUCAACCGAGGAAUUGCGUUUGAAACUGGUAUGCUAGAGUCUCGGAGAGGUUGGCGGAAUUCCAGGUGUAGGAGUGAAAUCCGUAGAUAUCUGGAGGAACACCGGGGGCGAAGGCGGCCAAAUGGACGAGUACUGACAGCGGAGUUAAACACGCUUGGUGCGCAAACAGUAGUAGAUC
rnacentral:rRNA from 1 species